rnacentral:lncRNA from 1 species
GGGAAUCUGUUCCCCAGACGGGAGGCGUCGGGUGGGGAUGGAAGCGUUAUCAGAGUGCAUGUUCCCCUCUCGGUAACAGACAUGGCUCAGUGUAAAGAAAGGUUUGGCAGAUUCUCCAAGAACCCUGCUAUGUUUAGGGAUGAAUUUAUUAAGUUGAGUAUAGUUUUGUUCUGACUUGAAGGGACAGGACUGCAGUGUGAACGCACUGCUGCCCUCCUCUGUCAUGCCUUUAUGACAAAGGUGAAUUCUCACAAAGGCUGCUGAAGUAGCUGAUGGGUCGGCAGCUCCAGACCACGAUGCUCGGAAGCCUUCUGAGGAAGCAGCACCCCUCAUUGACUUCAAAUGCGACCCUGAAAAUUCUCACAAAAUGGAGAGAAUAGAGCAUUUUGGGACUUGUGUUUCAGAGGAGAUGGGAAGGUGUCAGGUUAAGCCUGUCAAUUAUGACAGGAUGAAAGGGAGGAGCAUCCUGCUGUAUUUUCCAGUCACCUGUCAGAGACCUUCCAAAGAUGGUGUCACCCUCGUAUGGGGGACCCCAGAGGAUGUCGCAUACCACAGAAAACCCACUGCACUGCCAGCCCUUGGAGAAGAAAUUGAAAAUGCACGCGCAACAAUCUCAACAACCAAGGUCACCCGAGCAGCAGCUCUCCGUGCUAGUGAACAUCUGGGAGCGAACGGCCACCACUGUGAGCACCCCUGUAAUUGCAGAGGCCAAAGAGGUUAUACAUGGAAUUACAUAUGACCCAGCAAUACUGCUUUGAUGUAUAUACCUAGGAAAUAUGAGGACAUAUGUCCACACAACCAUGUGUACAUAAAUGCCCACAGCAAUAUUGUUUAUAAGAGCCAAAUUCUCAUCCACAGAAGAAUGGACUAACAAAAUACAGACUAGAAUGGAAUAUUCCAUUCUAGAAUAUAUAAAGGGAAUAUUAAAUAUAUAAAGUAAUAUUAGUGAGCCAUAAAAAGGAAUAAAGUACUGACCACUGCUUCAACAUGGCUGGACCUUGAAGAGAUUAUGCUUAUUGAAAGAAUCCCUCUAGGUCAGCAAGGCCCUAGAUGUCAAAACGUCAGAAUACAGAAAGCAAGACACAGUUGAUACAUCACAAGAGUCAACUGCAGUAGAUCUUAGAUCUUGGGAACCAAGAUGAUCUUGAAAUGAUUUGUUCUCGGGACACAAAGGUGUUGGGAGCUACUGCUGAAGUGCGUAGGAGGCCACCGAUGAAGAGGUUCCCAACUCUUGGGGUAGCCUCGUGUUGAGGAAGUUGGUCUGGAAAGCAAUGACCACAGCCAGAGAGAAGAAGCCAAAACUGCAAGAAUCCGAAGUCCAUGAGGUGCUGAAGACACUAGUGGAAGACACUAGUGUGACUUGCACGUAGAGUGGAAGCAGUGUGCCCAGGGAUUAGAUGCUGUGUAAUGCAUACUGAACUGCGAGUCCCUCACUGAGAUGGUGGCUGACACCUGGUGUUUUUGUCUGUUUAUCUCCAGACCCGUUGCAGUCCUCGUGUUGGAGGCUGCGGGUAUCUGCAGUGCUUUGCCAGUCUGUCUGCGGGUGUCUUCACUGAGUAGUGUUUGGCAGGCAUGAAGGAAGAGCUGGUCUUUGACUGUCUGUAAACUGCACUUCAAGAGCUCAGCUUACACCCACACCCCCACCCACACCCCCACACAUCCUUGGAUCUACUUUUCCAGAUUUUUAAAAUAGCAUAGGCACCCCAUUCAUGUGAGCAGGGAAAUGACUUUGGUUCCUACAAGUGGUGAUCAAAAUACAUGAAUUGAGAUUAUGGCCAGGUGUGGUGGCUCACGUUUGUAAUCUCAGCACUCAAGAGGCUGAGGCAGGAGGGUUUCAGCAAGUUUGAGGCCAGCCUGGGCUGCAUAGUGAGUUCAAGUUCAGCCUGAACUACAUAGUGAGACCCUGUGAUGAAGAAGAAGAAGAAGAAGAGGAAGAAGAAGAGGAAGAAGAGUAGGAAGGGGAAGGAAGAAGAAGAAGGAGAAGAAGAAUUGAGAUUACAUUGGCCUCCUAGAAUGAGUUAAAGACCAUUGCCAAAGGUCAUCCUGUCUCAGGAAAGUCUGCACAGAACUUUCCUGUGGAACAGCUCCUGCAGAAUCGGCACAGGUCUGGACUAUUUGGAUUGUUUCACAAACUAUGGACAGAAUAUAAAAUGCAGUUCUCAAUGACUUUGAAAAGCAAAAGCAGAAGGCAAAUGCAGGAGAGAAAUCAAAGCUUGCGGAAGUGGCCCAUUGGAGAUGAAGUAACUCGUGAAGAACGGAGCCUCAGUCGCCUCACAGCACUGGAGGCUGAGAGGUCCAGGACCAAAGGGCUGCAUCCACUGAGGGCCUCUGUGCCCACGGGAAGCUGAGGCAGCAGGAUCACGAGUGUCAGCCUAGCCUGAGCAACUCAGCGACUUAGCUGGGGAUUUAGCUCAGUGCAGGCCCUGGAAUCAAUUCCUAAUAUAGGACAGGGAAAAGGAGAGAGAACGGGAGUGUUUAAUAAAAUUGAGCUCAAGAUAACUCAUUACCUCACGAACCUGUGAAUCCAUGAAUCCACCGUAUCACUCACUUUCCCACUGCUGGGACAAAAUGCCCAACGCCUACGGCUUAAAGGAGGACAGGUUUAUUUGGCUCAUGGUUUUCUCCAUGGUCAGCUGGCUCCAAGGCAGAAACAAGAUGCUGGAGGGGCGUGGCCAAGGAAAAGAGGCUCCCCUGUGAGCCAGGA